UACGGAGGGUGCAAGCGUUAUCCGGAUUUACUGGGUUUAAAGGGUGUGUAGGCGGGCCAUUAAGUCAGGGGUGAAAUCCCGGAGCUCAACUCCGGAACUGCCUUUGAUACUAUUGGUCUUGAAUAUUGUGGAGGUAAGCGGAAUAUGUCAUGUAGCGGUGAAAUGCUUAGAUAUGACAUAGAACACCAAUUGCGAAGGCAGCUUACUACACAGUUAUUGACGCUGAGGCACGAAAGCGUGGGGAUCAAACAGG
rnacentral:rRNA from 1 species